AUUGUCAUGGAGACGGGAAGCUGGCUGCAGCGGCGGCGGGGACCGUGGGGCCGAGGUGGCUGCCAGCCGGCCAAUGUCUAAGCGAGGCGGAGCGGCCCAGGCGGCCCGAGCCUGGGGGAGCGCGCAGCCGGCCAGUGGCGGCCUCGCCGGCGGCCUCUUCCCGGGCUCGCAGUAGGCCCGAGUCGUCGCCGGGAGCUCCUGGGAGCAGCGUCCCCGCCCUGCUCCCCUCGCUCCCGCCUCUUGCGGCCCCACGGCCCCUCAGCGCCCGCCCCCGGCUCCGCCCGCCGCAGCCGCAGCCCCUGGCGCUAACGGUCGGUAACGGCCCGCGCGCGCCGCCCGCCGGGGGCUCGCGCCAGCCACGAGGGAGCGUCCGCGGCCCGCGCGCCCGCGCGGCGGAGGAGAGGUGUUAAGUGUGAUGCUUCCAUAAUACAUUUGGAUGCUGUCAGCUAAGUUCACUUCUGAACUAAGGGGUUCCUCCAAAUGUUGGCUGAAAUUCAUCCCAAGGCUGGUCUGCAAAGUCUGCAAUUCAUAAUGGAGCUACUGUACUGGCUAUUGGAAGGAGGAGAUUCUGAAGAUAAGGAGGUAAUAUUAUCUCUUUUAAAAGAAUACUUUCCUCUGUAAUCCUGAAUCUUUAUUACAUGUAAGAACUUUGUGCAGUAGACAGCAAUUUCUUUGAAUUUGGUAUAUGGAAACAAUUUUAUUUUCCUCUGCUAAGUUUUUGAGCCUGCCUCUUCUAGUGCCAUGGACUGCAUUGGUAGAGCUGAGAAAUAUCAUUUAGCCAUACUCAGCACCCUUAAAAUAGCUUCUUUCUGAGAAUUAGAUCUGUGAAGGUGUCCUGCACAGUUCUUGUAGAUGUCAUUUUAGUUUGUGGUUGACGUGCAUGCAUUUAGCAUGUUGCUUAACCGUCCUCAUUCGCCUCCCAGUUCUUUGUUGCCUUCAUUUGGGGGGAUGUGUUUUCUGCUGGAUGAUUUACUGCUAGACAUGACCAAACUCUGAGUAUAAGACUUGGUGUUUGGCAGCUGGUUCCAGUGCUCUGCUGAGAAGUAGUUGGGCCCAGCCUGGGGCAUUGUAGUGUCCUGGAGGCCGGGAGCUCCUGCACAGGGGUUCUUUUCCUGGUUCAGAGCCUUAGGUGCCUUUCCACUUUUCACGUAAUCUUUUCCUAGGUUGGCUUGCUGCUUACUUUGCAGCUGUUGCAGGGAUUCACAUGGAAUGGAGGGCUCCCUUUUAUUGUGGAUUAUUUCUUUGAUAAUUUACCCAUGUGCUUUUUCAUUUUCAAAAACCCAGUGGUGUUUAAGAAUGAAAGAUUCUUGAAGAACAAAAAUUGGGUUAAAUUUGUAUCUAUCAGAAAAGAUUCUAUCCUCUGAUGCUAUGUAGGCACAUUGAAUAUGCAGGCUAAAUUAAAAACAGAGUAAAACCUUUUUAUAAUAUGCCAAUUACUAUAUCUAAGAAUGUUUAUACAGGCUGAAAUUUUGUAAUGGUAUUUAUAUCUGUUUUCCUUUUUAAGGAAAAUAAUAUACUUUUCUAGGCAUCAAAAAUAUCUGCCCCUUUCACUAAUGCUGAUGUACCACCUUCCCCCAACCCCCAACGCUAAAUUUGACUGGCUUAAAAACAUCUGCCCCCUGAACUAUAUCUGGGGAGGAAUAUUAAUAAAACAAUGAAGGACUUCAUGGUGUCUAGUUAUAUAAUUAGGAAAUUGGUUAGAAACGUGGCUAAAACCAGUUUCUUUCAUUAAAAGAACUAGUGUACAUUUAAAAACAAAAACCUUCAGGAAAAAGACUCUUUGAUCUUUAAGUCAAAUAGUAUUUUUGGUUAACACAGCAGGAAGGGGAAAUAUACCAAUUUCAGAUUCUUUUAUUUAUGCCUAAGUAGAGGUUGUAAGCAGCUAAGGAAGUGAUUAAAAUGUAGUCUAGUAAAAAAUGGUGCUGAUUACUUGGAAAGCAGUUUACAUUUGCAAAAAAAUUCAGUAUUAUGACCUUCACCAACUUUUACACAUCAUAUACUUGGGUUAUUACUUAUGGUAUAGCUUGUGUAUGGAAUGCAAGGGUAUUUUCAAAUUGACUAGGUCUUGCUGGUCAUCUUAAAAUAUGUUACAAUAUUACAAAAUUGAAAUGUAAUAUUUUUUAAUAGAAGGAAAAUAUAAAUUUAAUAUCUGGGCAAUUGAGACCUUUAAACUUACUUUAAAAGUAUGAUCUUGAUGUAUAUGAUACUGUUUUGUCUUUGCUAUAUUAACAGAAUUAGAGGGGUGUUCUGCAAUUCAAAUACCUUAUAUAUUCCAAAUUUUAUUCUCUAUAAUGGACUUUUAAAAUAAAAGGUAUAUGUGCUUCAAGAGGGCAAAAUUUGAAUCAUGAGCUAAUUUGCUAAGCAUCAGAUUAUAGAAAAGCAUCCUUGAUUAAUUUGGAACUGUGAAAGGGGGCGGGUAAAACUGUUUUCUGCAGAAAUUUACUAGUGCAGCAACCAUUUAAAUUAAAUGUUUGUUAACAUAAUAGUGAUGGCAUUUUCUCCUCCCCCUCCUUGUGGUUUUGUCCAACUAGAUGUUACAGUGGCAGUUGCACUGACUGUUAAGUGUUUAAAUGAUGACACCAUUAUGUGAAGUGAUUUUGAAAUGAGAGAUUCCAGCCAAGAAUUACAUCUGCUCCCAUCUCCUUCAAAUCAUACUCUCUGGCAGUACAGAUUAUGAUUGAUUUGUUUGUGACAGAUUGCAGGAAACAGUCAUUGAUUUUUCAAUAUUUUACCUUAAAAUUAUUUACAGUUGUAACCAUGGGGAGGUAUUUUCAUGGGCUGUCAGCCCCUGAAAGACUAGGAUAAUAUUCCCUGCUCUCUGACAAGACAAAUUACCUGUAAUGAGUGCAGUAGCUGAAGGGUAUACUUUUAUUUUAAAAUAUGUCAAUAACCCCAGUGACUAAACGAAUAUUGAUUUAGCAUAAUGAAGCCUGAGUAACGUGAAAAUGAGCUUUUUCAAGGGGCAUGGUAAAGUCUUUCUUUUUAGCUGGUUGUAAGAAGCUUUUGAUUCUUUUCAGCCAGCUGGUAGGAAUAUAGAAUUUUAUAAGCAAACCAUCAGGAAUGAUAGUGUUGUUUCUGAUAAGCAACAUCCAAAUAUUUUGACCCUGCUUUUAGUGGUUUUUUUCAAAUCUUAUUUUGAGUCUUACUUUUAGUCAUAGAAUAGCUACUGAUUUGAUGCGGUCUUUAACUGACUUAAUAUUUUUACAAUUUCAAUAUAUUUUGCAUUGGAAUCUCCAGUAAUGAAUAUUAAAAUAUAUGUACAAUCAUUUGUAGAUGAUAUCAAUUAUAUUAAGACAUUUCAGAUGGGCUAUUGUAGUAUUUAAUGUGCCGUAUUUUAUGGUAGAAUAAUUCUCAGUCUCUGGACAUCAAGAUUGCUUUCAGUGGGAAUGAAGAUUAAUUUACUUCAGUCCUGAUUUUUUAGGCAUCAAUGCAUGUUUUCAUUUUUGUCAGACUUUUACCCUCUUUUAAUGUAAUUCUCAACUUCUUAUGGAUUUACUUCCCAAUACAUAAAAUCCUUCAAAACAAGAAUGAUAAUAAUUUUUAUACUUUUUAUAAAAAUAAAUUUAUUUUUAGUCCAUCAAGGUGUCUGAAGAUUUUAUGCCUAGGUAUCUCCAUAUCUAACUUGAUAAGGAAAAUAGGAUAAACAAUGCUGGUAAUAGCAGGAAAGUAAGUAUUUGAAUAAGAUGUCAAACUGAUAUUUCAUGUGAACCUAACUCAUUUUAUGGUAACUAAUAAUUAUCUUAUUUAAAUCAAUAGGUAAAACCUGUUUAGAAAUUAAAAAUGAGUUACGAUUUAAAGAAAAUUCAGAUGACUCAUUGUGAGUGCUAGUUCUCUUGUAGGAUGCCACUGGAAAUGUUGAAAUGAAAAAUGUAAGUAUAUCUUUUGGUGGAAAAAAGGAUAGUCUCUAGGACACAAAAUUACUGUUUUAUUUUUUUCUCAGGAGUUUGCCUAAGGGUGUGACAGAUGAUCUCUGUCACUUGUCUUAGUUGUGUCCUGCAAUAAACUGGAUGCUUUAUAAAAUACUAGACCUGUGAUUUCGUAUGCUGUAAUAUUUCAUUUCUCCAUCACCCCUCCAAAUUAUUUCUUAGUUUGGAGUAAAAUAAUAAAUGUAUUAUAGUCAACAUCUCUUGACCCCUCUUUAGUUUCAGCUAAACUAAGCAUGUGUGUUUGUGUGUUCAUUUUAUAGUUCAUGUGUAGAACUAUGUGAAUUAAAUUUAAGAAACAUGUAAAGUAGAGGAAAUAGUUUUCUGGAGAAAUUUUUCCUUUUUGGAUAUUAUGCCCUUUUCCAUUGCUUUUCUCUGCUUGAAAGCAAAAAAAAGUACCCUACCCCUGUUCUCCUUUAGGGAAAAACUAUUCCUAUAAAGUAUUUUUAAAUCGUGCAAGUCAUUGCCUAGGGUUAGCUAAAACAUUUCUUUUUAAAAAGGAGAAAAUGCCCUGGCUUUAACAUUUUCUUGUAUUUGUAUCUAUUAAGAUAAACAGUUUACUUUGAUACAGUACAUACCAAUCUACUUAAUUUUUUUUCCAGGAUUCCUUUUACUAUGUUUGGUCUGACCUUUUAUGAUAACUUAAUAUGGGAACAAAUUAGCAUAUAAUUCUAUUUUCCAUGUGACCUCAACCAGUUGCAGAAUUGUACCACUACUUUAGGGGGGGCAAUUUGACAGUUUAUGUAGACUAUAGCAUUAAUUGUUCCCAAAUGUUCAGUGCAUCCUGGCUAAUGUGUUAUUGAAGGUGUUUUCACGUAAGCAGUUAGAGGAAGCACUUCACCCCUAUUACUAAGUUAUUAAAAUGCCUCCUAAAGGUAGCAUUUUAAAUUAGUAUACAUAAUUGAUUAGUAAUUUGUCUUCUCCCAAGCAUAAAACAGCAUAGCAGAGUUAAGUGUGACCAGUGAAGUAUAAGAUAUUAGGGAUUGAUGGUGACAAUGAUCAUAGCAACUAAAUGGAUUUUUUUUUUCUUUUAGAUUCAGCCGUUGGUCUUUGAAAUUUCCUGUGAUGUGUUUCAAUCUAGAUGCAAAGAACAUGGAAAAAUCAAAGUGCUCGAGUGGUUUAAAUAUGUUUUGGGUAUUCCUGUUUAUAGACUAUAAUACUUUUCCAAUUAAAAUCCUCAGUUGUCACGCAGAAGAAGGUUAAGCUGUAUUUGAUUGCCAGUUUUACUGAAAAUGCUUAGUAUUUUACAGUAUCACCAAAUAUAUUUUGUUUAGCCAAGGUAUAGGAAAAAUAAAAUAAAUUGUAUAGGUUGACUUUUUUCUAAAAUGUCUUUAUUGGAUUGAAUGAAUGUUUAUACCUGAAAAAAAAAGGUUCAAAAAAAUUCCUUUUUCUAUCAGAGUCAUUCUUUUGACAAUCAGAUAUUAGACUAGGUUUAAAAUAACUUUCUAAUAUGACUCAUAUUUAUGGGAGGAAAAAGACUUGAAAGAUAUUCCUAUGUGUACUUUAAUUUUCUGUAAUAGUCCCUCUGGAAUAGAAUAUCUCUUCCUCAAACAAAUCUAUUGGCUCAUUUCAUAUACAAGAAAAAGUUGCCCUAAAUGGCAGAGUUUCAUCUCUGUAAAGAAGGCUGACAUCCACUUCCUUCACAGAAUCCCUGCAUUUGGGUAAUUGAGUAAUGAUAGAUUACCUUGCCAUUGGGAAAUACCUUGUUGUGGCCUUUGUAGCAGCUAUAGGAAGAUGGAAGAAUUCUUUUGUAUAGACAGGUCUCUAGCCUCUUUGGUGUGGACACUGUGAAGGGGUACAUCUGGUGAGAAGGAGUGCUUAGGGAAGGAACUGGGAAGGUCCACAAAGGCUGAUGAUGACAAAGAAUCCAAGGGCUAUGAUGAAUUCUUAAGCUUAGAUCUCAGAGUCAUAAAGUAAAUUUAUUAGGCUAGAGAGAUUUCCUUUUUUAUUUUUGAUCAAACUUUAUUUUUUCAGAUUGUUAAGUUCACAUGCAGUUGUACAAAAUAAUACAGAGAUCUUUGAACACUACCCAGUUUCUCCUAAUAGUAACUUCUUGCAAUAUACUGUAUAGCACAGCAUCACAACCUGGAUACUGACAUUGAUGCAGUCAAGACAGAGAACAUUUAUAUCAUGAGGAGGAUCCCUCAUUACCGCCCUUUGAUAUCCACCCCUACUUCCAGACCAUCUCACUCCUCCCUUAACCCUGGCAACCACUAGCAUGUUCUCCAUUUCUAUAAAUUUGCCUUUAUAGGAAUGUUAUAUAAUUGCAAUUAAAGUGUGUAACCUUUUGGGGUUUGACUCACCCGGCAUCAUUUUCUGGAGAUUCAGCUUAUAUGUGUCAAUAGUUUGUUCCCUUUUUUUUAGUUCAGUAGUAUUCUGUGGUACGUGUGUACCACAUCACUCAUCAAUUCGGACUUCUGGGUUGUAUCUGGUAUUUGAUUAUUACAAAUAGAAGUACUAUAUAUAUAUUCGUGUAGAGGUUUCUGUGUGAACAUAAACUUUCAUUUUCCUGGGACAGAUGCCCACGAGUGAAAAUUGUGAGUCAUAUGGUAAUUAUGUAGAGUAUUUUUUUUUUGAGACGAUUUGUUUAUGAUUUUAAAACAUAAAAAUAUAAGUUGUAGCCAAAUAUAAGGAAGGAUUUUUCCACAAUCUAGACUUUAUUCUUAUUUUAGAGAAAUACUUUUGAAAAAAUUGCUUUAUUGGCAAACAAUUCCUAUGUAAAGGAAUAAAAGACGCAUAUACUCUAGGAAAGAUGUUGCAAAGCUGACAGGCAACUUUGAGAAAGAUGAGGGCAGUUUUCCAGUGUUACUGGAGACUUGACAUUCAAGGAUGUAUUAUGAUAGUUUCUGAAUUGAUAGAUUCUUUAGCGUUUGUCACUACCCUCAGGCCUGCAGUUUUUAUUUGUAGAAUUAACUCAUCUUUACAAUGCUUUGUUGAGUGCUGUUGCAGAAAAUGCUCAUGUAAUUCAAUUAUAUGCAGUUAGGAAAAAGAAGUAUCUUUUUCUAGUACAUGGCCCCUAAAAUGAUGACUUUCCACAAUGCUGAAUGGAGGAAACAGCUCUGUUUCCAUCAAACUCUGGUGGAAAUUAUACAAAGUUAUAUUAUGCUUUAUGAGACAUAGUGAGGUAGUACACAACCAUAUAUGCUAUAUUAUUGGGGAGACCCACUGAAAGAAUUUUCAAGGAUAAUUUUUGCUCUGAUUUUCUAUCAUGUAUAUUGACUUUAUUGAUUGAUUGAUUGAGAUGGAGUCUCACCCCGUCACCCAGGCUGAAGUGCAGUGGUGCAAUCUCUGCUCACUGCAACCUCCGCCUCUCAGGUUCAAGUGAUCCUCGUGCCUCAGCCUCCCGAGUAGCUGAGACUAUAGGUGUGUGCUACGAUGCCCAGCUAAUUUUUGUAUUUUUAGUAGAGACAGGAUUUGGUAGCCUGGUCUCGAACUCCUGACCUCAGGUGAUCUACCCACCUUGGCCUCCCAAAAUACUGGGAUUACAGGUGUGAGCCACCGUGCUGGCCAAGUAUAUUGACUUUAAAACGUUACCGGCUGGGCGUGGUGGUUCACGCCUGUUAUCCCAGCACUUUGGGAGCCCGAGGCGGAUGGAUUACCUGAAGUCAGGAGUUCGAGACCAGCCCAACCUGGUGAAACCCCGUCUCUACUAAAAAUACACAAAUUAGCCGGGCGUGGUGGCAGGCGCCUAUAAUCCCAACUACUGGGAAGGCUGAGGCAGGAGAAUUGCUUGAACCUGGCAGGCGGAGGCUGCAGUGAGCCAAGACUGCGCCACUGCACUCCAGCCUGGGCAACAAGAGCAAAACUCAGUCUCAAAAAAAACAGAAAAAAAAAGUUACCACGGGUGAAACAUUGGGCUGGUCACAGUGAUCCUUCUAACAGCAGUCAAUAUUAUAAAUCUAGCUUUUUUUUUUGAGUGAGAUACUAGGCCCAGGGAACCCGAGUCUUUCAAUCCUCAUGAAUAUAGUUUAAUCUUUAGCUCAUUAUGGUCAUGACCAUAGUUAAAUAAAUGACACGAGAUAAUAAAAUAGUCUUUGCCCUUAAAACUGACCUGGGUAAAAGGAUGUACACUUGAAUCUUUGAAUACCAGAAUAGUCAUUCAUUCAUUGAGCCGUGUUGUAGCAUCCCAUCUUCUGGCACUUCCAGCACUGGGAACCCAUCAUAAAGAAGGCACUACAGGCCAGGCGCUGUGGCUCACGCCUGUAAUCCCAGCACUUUGGGAGGCCAAGGCAGGCGGAUCACCUGAGGUCAGGAGUUCGAGACCAGCCUGGCCAACAUGGUGAAACCCCAUCUCUACUAAAAAUACAAAAAGUAACUGGGCAUGGUGGCAGGCGCCUGUAAUCCCAGCUACUUGGGAGGGUAAGGCCAGAGCAUCGCUUGAACCCGGAAGGCAGAGGUUGCAGUGAGCCAAGAUCCUGCCAUUGCACUCCAGCCUGGGGGAUAAGAGCGAGACUUCGUCUAAAAAAAAUAAAAAUAAAAAGGCACUACAGCACCUGUUCUCUUAGUGUAGCUCUAUUAGCUCUUAGACUAGGGGGUAGGGAUGGGAAAAAGUAAAAAGAAACUGAGAAACCAAUCUAAUUACGCAUAAUCAGAAAUCCAAAGCUUCCAGAAUUCAUGAGGAAAAAGAACUGCAGCUGAUGGAGUAGGCAUUACAGAGAAUGAGAGGCUUGCUUUUUUUUUAAGUUUCAUUUUAUUUGUAAUUGACACAAUAGCACAUAUUUACGGGAUACAGUGUGACAUUUUAAUACAUUUACAUAUUGUGUAAUGAUCAAAUUAGGAUAAUUAGCUUAUGUAUCACUUCAAAAACAUAAUUUCUUUGUGAUGAGAACAUUCAAAAUCUUCUAGUAUUUUGAAAUACAUAAUGCAAUAUUGUUAACCACAAUCACCCUACUGUGCAAUAGAACACCAGAGUUUACUCCUCUUUUCCAUCUGUAGCUUCAGACCCAUUGACCAAUCUCUCCCCUUCGCCCCCCACCACCCCCCCCCCCGCCGUCACCACUCUCCUCCCCUCCCCAGCAAGAGGCUUGAAUCUUGAAGGAGCACAUCAGAUAGAAAGAGGGAAAUCAACUGGGACAUGGUUUGUUGGAAGUGGGGUGGAAUCUGGUUUGUUUACAGUUUCAGAGUUUGAGGCAUCAAAAGUGUAUGUCAUUGCCCAAAAGUAUUUAACAGCUUUCUAUGUUUUAGGAAUUCACUAGAAAUAAGGCAUGCUUUUUAAAAAAGAAAAAAAAUAGUAAUCUUUGAAUUUAAAUAUGUGGGUUUCCAUGAAAAACAAAUGAGUACCCUUCCUUGAAAAACUACUACUUUGAAGAGUCUCGUAGGUUCUGAGGCUCGUGUGUGUGUGUGGGUGUGUGUGUAUAAAACAUUUUCUUUUAUAUUUGGUAAGAAGGAAUAAGGUAUUUUAUACUUUUCUGGUCUGUUAAAUGCAUAAUCUAUAAGACUAUAAUACUUUAAAAAAUUUUAGUUUAUCUGAGGCUUAAAAUAACAAAAGAACUUAAAGCUCCUGUGGAAGAGCUCCAAAAUUAAAACUGUAAGAUCACAUAUAGAUAAAACGUUAUAUAAAGCAGGCUUUGGGACCCCAGGCAUGAUGGCUCAUUCCUGUAAUCCCAGCACUUUGGGAGGCCAAGGUGGGUGGAUCACCUGAACCCAAAAGUUCGAGACCAGCCUGAGCAACAUGGUGAAACCCUGUCUCUACAAAAUACAGAAAAAAAAAAUAUUAACCAAUUUUUUUAACCUCCCAGCUACUUGGGAGGCUGAGAUGGGAGGAUGGCUUGAGCCUGGGGAGGUCGCGGCUGCAAUGAGUCAUGAUCGCGCCACUGCACUCCAGCCUGGGUAAUAGAUUGAAACUCUGUCUCCACACACACACACACAAAUGACUUUUGGUAAGACUGUACAUAGAGUUUAUGGCCUUAUUAAGAAACUCUUUUGAGCAACCUAAGAAAACACAAGUAUUUCUGUACAUUACUUUGUUAAAGUGUACAGGAUAAUAAGAGAGAGCUAAGAGCCUUUUCUAAAUGUGCAUCCAAUUUUAAGAGGCUAAAAUAGGAAGCUUUCAUAUAGCCAAGGCCCCAUUAACUUGGGAAUCUGGAAAACAGAAGACGUAAGUUUCUAUCAGAGUUUCUUUAAAUUUAUGUAAAUCAUAAAUUUGAGCAAGGCAGUUAUAAAAGACAUUAAAAUUAAGAUACUCAGGAUUUUAUAUGUAAUAAUAUUGAUUCCAAUAUCUUCAACACUAUGGCAUUGCCAAUGAGGAGACCAAAAUGAAUUGUAUUUUAUGAAAGGGCUAUAUUAGACCAGUGACUUAAAAGUUCCAAGUACAUAUAAUGACAAAGCGUUGUGGAAUCAUCUUGUACUACUGUUUAUGUAGUAGUUUAAAAAAAAAAAGAAAAAGAAAAUGGUGCAAUUUUAGACAGUUUAAAAAAAUUUUACAAAUACUGCAAAUCAUAGGUUGGUUACCACUAGACUUCCUGACUGCAGUGGUUGCUGUAUUCACUGUACAUUCUUUUAAAACACCAGGCACUUUAUAAUUUUGUCUAUAAUUGUUUAUAUAUUUUUUCUUCACAACAUGUUUUAGAAUAACUUAUUGCUAAGUUACUUCAACGUAUGUGCCAUCUUUAAACUUUAUAUAUGAGUAUACUAAAGUGUCAUUUGCAAGACACAUCUAUGCACUAUUUUUUUUUUCAGGAGCCUCUUUAUUCAAAAUACUUUUAAAUGCAGUGCAUAAAAAUAGCAGGCCACUUCCACUUGCAGGCUUUUGAAGCUGGAGAAGACUUGUUUUUCACAUGAGGAAACUGAGUCCCAGCAAGGUGAAAUGACUUGCUA
rnacentral:lncRNA from 1 species